GACGUAACAAACCAAUAUAACUUAGUUGUAUGUAUCCGUUUUCAACUCUCAAAGACUGUGGUGGAGAAUCCAACAAUGCAGACCAUGGAUAUUGAUGACGUCACGUAUCCCAACAAGCCCAGUGUUACAUUUUCAGCUAAUUUUCAGUGGUGGAAGAGACCCUCUGGAGUUGCUGCAGUGUGUCUGGGGCUGCUGUGUGUUCUCCUACUGGCUGGGAUCAUAGGCCUGUCUGUCUA